rnacentral:rRNA from 1 species
UACGGAGGGUGCAAGCGUUAAUCGGAAUUACUGGGCGUAAAGCGUGCGCAGGCGGUUUGUUAAGUCUGCUGUGAAAUCCCCGAGCUCAACUUGGGAAUUGCAGUGGAUACUGGCAGGCUGGAGUAUGGUAGAGGGAGGUGGAAUUCCCGGUGUAGCAGUGAAAUGCGUAGAGAUCGGGAGGAACAUCAGUGGCGAAGGCGGCCAUCUGGGACAACACUGACGCUGAAGCACGAAAGCGUGGGGAGCAAACAGG